rnacentral:rRNA from 1 species
UACGUAGGGGGCGAGCGUUGUCCGAAGUUACUGGGCGUAAAGAGCGCGUAGGCGGGUCUUUAAGUGAGAGGUGAAAGGUUCAGGGCUCAACCCGAACACUGCCUUUCAUACUGGGGAUCUUGAGUGCGGGAGAGGAGAGUGGAAUUCCCGGUGUAGCGGUGAAAUGCGCAGAUAUCGGGAAGAACACCCGUGGCGAAGGCGGCACUCUGGGACGGUACUGACGCUGAGACGCGAAAGCGUGGGGAGCGAACAGG